GGGUGAGUAACGCGUAUCCAACCUUCCCCUUAGUAGGGCAUAGCCCGGCGAAAGUCGGAUUAAUACCCUAUGUUUUCCAAUGAGGACAUCUGAGUUGGAACAAAGAUUCGUCGCUAAGGGAUGGGGAUGCGUCCGAUUAGCUUGCCGGCGGGGUAACGGCCCACCGGGGCAACGAUCGGUAGGGGUUCUGAGAGGAAGGUCCCCCACACUGGUACUGAGACACGGACCAGACUCCUACGGGAGGCAGCAGUGAGGAAUAUUGGUCAAUGGGCGAGAGCCUGAACCAGCCAAGUAGCGUGCAGGAUGACGGCCCUACGGGUUGUAAACUGCUUUUAUGCGGGGAUAAAGUGACGUACGUGUACGUUUUUGCAGGUACCGCAUGAAUAAGGACCGGCUAAUUCCGUGCCAGCAGCCGCGGUAAUACGGAAGGUCCUGGCGUUAUCCGGAUUUAUUGGGUUUAAAGGGAGCGCAGGCGGGUUGUUAAGCGUGCCGUGAAAUGUACCGGCUCAACCGGUGAAGUGCGGCGCGAACUGGCGACCUUGAGUGGGUACGACGGAGGCGGAAUUCGUGGUGUAGCGGUGAAAUGCUUAGAUAUCACGAAGAACCCCGAUUGCGAAGGC
rnacentral:rRNA from 1 species